ACGAACGCUGGCGGCGUGCUUAACACAUGCAAGUCGAACGGAAAGGCCCUGCUUUUGUGGGGUGCUCGAGUGGCGAACGGGUGAGUAACACGUGAGUAACCUGCCCUUGACUUUGGGAUAACUUCAGGAAACUGGGGCUAAUACCGGAUAGGAGCUCCUGCUGCAUGGUGGGGGUUGGAAAGUUUCGGCGGUUGGGGAUGGACUCGCGGCUUAUCAGCUUGUUGGUGGGGUAGUGGCUUACCAAGGCUUUGACGGGUAGCCGGCCUGAGAGGGUGACCGGCCACAUUGGGACUGAGAUACGGCCCAGACUCCUACGGGAGGCAGCAGUGGGGAAUAUUGCACAAUUGGCGGAAGCCUGAUGCAGCAACGCCGCGUGCGGGAUGACGGCCUUCGGGUUGUAAACCGCUUUCGCCUGUGACGAAGCGUGAGUGACGGUAAUGGGUAAAGAAGCACCGGCUAACUACGUG
rnacentral:rRNA from 1 species